rnacentral:rRNA from 1 species
AAAACAACUCUCAGCAACGGAUAUCUUGGCUCUUGCAACGAUGAAGAACGCAGCGAAAUGCGAUACGUAAUGUGAAUUGCAGAAUUCCGCGAAUCAUCGAGUCUUUGAACGCAAGUUGCGCCCGAGGCUUGUCCGAGGGCAUUUCCGCUAGAGCGUCACC